GUAUGAUGGCCACACGAGGGCUUUACUGUCUCUUACUUCCAAUCCGUGAAAUUGACCUUCCCGUGAAGAGGCGGGAAUACAACAAUAAGACGAGAAGACCCUAUGGAGCUUUAAUUAACCGACCCAAAGAGACCCCACUAAUUAACCGACAAGAACCACCAAUCUCUAGUUGGGCCGACAAUUUAAGUUGGGGUGACCUCGGAAAACAAAACAACCUCCGAGUGAUUUAAAUCUAGACUAACCAGUCCAAAGUAUUACAUCACUUAUUGAUCCAAAAACUUGAUCAACGGAACAAGUUACCCUAAGGAUAACAGCGCAAUCCUAUUUUAGAGUCCAUAUCGACAAUAGGGUUUACGACCUCGAUG
rnacentral:rRNA from 1 species